UACAGAGGGGGCAAGCGUUGUUCGGAAUUACUGGGCGUAAAGGGCGUGUAGGCGGUCUGUUAAGUCGAACGUGAAAUCCCCGGGCUCAACCCGGGAACUGCGUCCGAUACUGGCAGGCUUGAAUUCGGGAGAGGGAUGUGGAAUUCCAGGUGUAGCGGUGAAAUGCGUAGAUAUCUGGAGGAACACCGGUGGCGAAGGCGGCAUCCUGGACCGAUAUUGACGCUGAUGCGCGAAAGCCAGGGGAGCAAACGGG
rnacentral:rRNA from 1 species